UUGUAUUUUUUUUUGUAUCCGAUUCAUCGAGUAAUCAACAAAAUAAUCAAGAGAUUAAUAGUUAUCAAGAUAAUUGUUAGAUGCAUCUCUAGUUAAUUGCACAGUAUGUCAAUGCUUCUUCGUAGUUUUUCCCAAUGCAAUUAUAACGACCUUCGAUUAUUUGCGGAUUUUACCUGUUGGUAAACUGAGAUAUUAGAAAUAUUCUGCAUAGUGCGCGAUCAAUUGAAAGUGGGACGUAAAUGAAUAAAGGAAGCCCAACCCUGGGGCUUACAGAUCUCAUCAGGUCAAAAAACGGCCCAUUAUUUUCCGACUGAGUUGUUCACCCCUGCGGACUGGCUUAUCAAAAUUCAUAUUUGCACACCACUUUCUCCCGAAAUGGCACGAGCUAGACUGUUGGAGUGCAUGCCACCACUUUUAAUAAAUGCAUCACUGUCUCUUUAAGAGUUUUGCUGGGAAAAUCCCGCGAGAACAUGGAGCGCGAGUGUGACUCAGACCAGGAAGUGAAGAGAGGGUAAAAUGCCCGCGAAAUUUGACCGUCUCUCAGCUGUGCUUGCCCCCGAUUGCCAAUUGUAAUCGCCAUCGUCACCCGGGAGAUAUUCAGGAUGAUGCAGGUCCCACGGUGACAAGAGUUGAGAACCACCCGUCUGUCUGAAUGACCCCUGACGCGGGCCUGUGGCCAAUCCGUUGUUGGCUCUUAUUUGCCCUGCCAUCGACUGGUUCGCAGUCCAGUCAGUCCGACCCCACCUGUCCGUCAUGCAAGGUCAGAUGGCAUCGGCCCCAACUCACCUGAGUGACGAAGGAGAUAAAAAAUUUGUUUGUCAGUCAUGACCGGGACCUCUUGUGACUGCUUGUGAGCUAGUGCCACCUGCUGGUCAAGUCUAUCAAACAAAACAUGACGUGGUGUACUGCAGUGACGUUUCAUAUUUCAGUGUAGACUACUAACUCAAGAGAAUUGUGCCCAGUUGAUCUAGGUAUGAAUUUAACAUCAAUGAAAAAUAACCAUCCUUAAUAGCUCUCUUUAAAGGCAUUAUUAUUCAGGCAUUUAAUUUGGAUUUAAGUUUCUCUUUCGGAUGACUUUUU